rnacentral:rRNA from 1 species
UAGGGAAUCUUCCACAAUGGACGCGAGUCUGAUGGAGCAACGCCGCGUGAGUGAAGAAGGGUUUCGGCUCGUAAAGCUCUGUUGUUAAGAAGAACGUGGGUAAGAGUAACUGUUUACCCAGUGACGGUAUUUAACCAGAAAGCCACGGCUAACUACGUGCCAG